rnacentral:rRNA from 1 species
AACGAACGCUGGCGGCAGGCUUAACACAUGCAAGUCGAGCGCAUCCUUCGGGGUGAGCGGCGGACGGGUGAGUAACGCGUGGGAACGUGCCCUCUUCUACGGAAUAGCCUCGGGAAACUGAGAGUAAUGCCGUAUACGUCCGCAAGGGGAAAGAUUUAUCGGAGGAGGAUCGGCCCGCGUUGGAUUAGGUAGUUGGUGGGGUAACGGCCUACCAAGCCGACGAUCCAUAGCUGGUUUGAGAGGAUGAUCAGCCACACUGGGACUGAGACACGGCCCAGACUCCUACGGGAGGCAGCAGUGGGGAAUCUUGGACAAUGGGGGCAACCCUGAUCCAGCCAUGCCGCGUGAUCGAUGAAGGCCUUAGGGUUGUAAAGAUCUUUCAGCUGGGAAGAUAAUGACGGUACCAGCAGAAGAAGCCCCGGCUAACUCCGUG